rnacentral:rRNA from 1 species
UACAGAGGUCUCGAGCGUUAGGCGGAAUCACUGGGCUUAAAGCGUGUGUAGGCGGAUCGUUAAGUACCUUGUGAAAUCCCGGGGCUCAACCUCGGAACUGCAUUCGAUACUGCUUUGCUUGAGUACUGGAGAGGAGAUUGGAAUUUACGGUGUAGCAGUGAAAUGCGUAGAUAUCGUAAGGAAGACCAGUGGCGAAGGCGGAUCUCUGGACAGUUACUGACACUGAGGCACGAAGGCCAGGGGAGCAAACGGG